UUGGGAUGUCUUUUUGCUUUGGUGCCAAACUUCUCUGUUGCAGCUGUUCCGAUUGGUGGUUCAAAGGUGUAUUUAUUGGGCAGUGUCUCUUUACUGAAGACAAUUUGUUUAGUCAGCAGGUAAUCUAGAAUGAAAUACAAACUCCACUUGUGUGCUCAUGGAUUCGGUUGCAGAUGGGCAACUGAGCCUACUCACUUCUUCUCAAUUGGUGCUCCCUCUUCAUUUGUGUCGGACUGGCUUAAGGGCAACUGAUGUUUGCUGACAUUUUGAAUUUAGAAAUCAAUUCAAUGAACAUUGCACAUGCUCAAUCCUGAUUCUUCCAUUUUGAGUUGUACAAUGUUUUUGAAGGUUAACUUAAGCAAAUUGGAGAUGGCUGUUUUGUAGAGAUAUUGGCGACACUUAAACCUUGUGAGUUUUUCUAAUAGGAGAAAGUUAAUUGAGUCACUUUUUUGGUGUUCUAACAUAUUGGAUUGCUAUGUGGAUGCUAUCCCAAACCCAUCAAAAGAGAGACUAGUUGAUGUUGUUCAGAGGCAGUUCAUGUCGCAGCAAAUGGACGAGUUGCAGGUCAUUUUACGGUUUGUUCAGAGGCUGCAAAGAGAUUGAAGAUUGUGUGCAAAUGACCUGGAGAGAAAUGGGGAGAUCUUUGAAUUUGAAUUUAGUUUGUUCAGGUCAUUUAUCUGUGGCUUGUUUAUGCCUAUCGUUUUCACUUAUUAGGUUAGAAUUACUUCGUUCUGAGUUGUAGAGGAUCUUACUUUUUGUUAGUGCAAAUGUAGAUAUAUGUAAGCUCGUGACCAGACCUCUAAAGAUGUCCCUUGUGGCUUUCUUUCUAAACUUGGUUGACUGUACUGCUGACUUGAGGAAACUUUUACCCACAUCCACCCCACUCAUUCUUCUACUCACUGGCAAAAGAAGAAAAAGAGGAAAAAGAUGGAAACAAUUCAGUUUUGGGUCUCACAGCACAAGCUGACCAGCAUUGGAAUUGGGGCAUCACCAGCCUAUUCAUGUACAAGAUCUCCCCUGAAGCCAAGCCUUUGGCUUAUUCAUGCAAGCCACCUACCUCUACUACGAGAAGCGUACAACGGAGCAAGGAGAGAGUCCUUCAAAGUGAUAAGAGAGAGAUCUUAGACAUAAUUUCCCACUCAACCUAUUGCAAGGCCCUUUAUUCUUGGAACUCCUCCUGGGCUGAAAUAAUGAUCUCGAGGAAAGAGUGUUGGCUUCUUACUCACUAGUACUGAGUCUCUUGAAGAGUUCAGAAUGUGUUUCAAUGCUCUCAUCAUGGGAUAAAGAGUUGCUCGGCAAUCUCCAGAAUCUCUCUCCGGUAACAUGGAAAGCAAAAUGAUGAAGACAAUGCUAAAUGUGAGAUUGAAUUAAAGAUGGCACCGUAUUUGUUAUAGUAUGUGAGUGCUGGAUUGAGAAC